UACGUAGGGGGCAAGCGUUAUCCGGAUUCACUGGGUGUAAAGGGAGCGUAGACGGCGACGCAAGUCUGGAGUGAAAGCCCGGGGCCCAACCCCGGGACUGCUCUGGAAACUGCGGCGCUGGAGUACGGGAGGGGCAGGCGGAAUUCCUGGUGUAGCGGUGAAAUGCGUAGAUAUUAGGAGGAACACCAGUGGCGAAGGCGGCUUACUGGACUGUAACUGACGUUGAGGCUCGAAAGCGUGGGGAGCAAACAGG
rnacentral:rRNA from 1 species